rnacentral:rRNA from 30 species
UGUCUGGCAGUUCCCUACUCUCGCAUGGGGAGACCCCACACUACCAUCGGCGCUACGGCGUUUCACUUCUGAGUUCGGCAUGGGGUCAGGUGGGACCACCGCGCUACUGCCGCCA